UACGAAGGGGGCUAGCGUUGUUCGGAAUCACUGGGCGUAAAGCGCACGUAGGCGGAUGUGUCAGUCAGGGGUGAAAUCCCGGGGCUCAACCCCGGAACUGCCUUUGAUACUGGUAGUCUCGAGUCCGGAAGAGGUGAGUGGAAUUCCGAGUGUAGAGGUGAAAUUCGUAGAUAUUCGGAGGAACACCAGUGGCGAAGGCGGCUCACUGGUCCGGUACUGACGCUGAGGUGCGAAAGCGUGGGGAGCAAACAGG
rnacentral:rRNA from 1 species